CCCUUAGAUGUUCUGGGCCGCACGCGCGCUACACUGACGAAUGCAACGAGCUUAUAACCUUGGCCGAAAGGUCUGGGUAAUCUCCAAAUUUCGUCGUGAUGGGGAUAGAUUAUUGCAAUUAUUAAUCUUCAACGAGGAAUGCCUAGUAAGCGCAAGUCAUCAGCUUGCGUUGAUUACGUCCCUGCCCUUUGUACACACCGCCCGUCGCUCCUACCGAUUGAAUGGUCCGGUGAAGCGUUCGGACCGUGGCCUUUGGACGGUUCGCCGUCUGUUGGCUGCGGGAAGUUCGUUAAACCUUAUCAUUUAGAGGAAGGAGAAGUCNUAACA
rnacentral:rRNA from 1 species